rnacentral:guide_RNA from 1 species
AAUAAAUCAAUAACAAAGAACACUGUAAAAGAGAGAAAUGAGAGUAAAU